rnacentral:rRNA from 1 species
UGUAAGACUGGGAUAACUCCGGGAAACCGGGGCUAAUACCGGAUGGUUGUUUGAACCGCAUGGUUCAAACAUAAAAGGUGGCUUCGGCUACCACUUACAGAUGGACCCGCGGCGCAUUAGCUAGUUGGUGAGGUAAUGGCUCACCAAGGCAACGAUGCGUAGCCGACCUGAGAGGGUGAUCGGCCACACUGGGACUGAGACACGGCCCAGACUCCUACGGGAGGCAGCAGUAGGGAAUCUUCCGCAAUGGACGAAAGUCUGACGGAGCAACGCCGCGUGAGUGAUGAAGGUUUUCGGAUCGUAAAGCUCUGUUGUUAGGGAAGAACAAGUACCGUUCGAAUAGGGCGGUACCUUGACGGUACCUAACCAGAAAGCCACGGCUAACUACGUGCCAGCAGCCGCGGUAAUACGUAGGUGGCAAGCGUUGUCCGGAAUUAUUGGGCGUAAAGGGCUCGCAGGCGGUUUCUUAAGUCUGAUGUGAAAGCCCCCGGCUCAACCGGGGAGGGUCAUUGGAAACUGGGGAACUUGAGUGCAGAAGAGGAGAGUGGAAUUCCACGUGUAGCGGUGAAAUGCGUAGAGAUGUGGAGGAACACCAGUGGCGAAGGCGACUCUCUGGUCUGUAACUGACGCUGAGGAGCGAAAGCGUGGGGAGCGAACAGGAUUAGAUACCCUGGUAGUCCACGCCGUAAACGAUGAGUGCUAAGUGUUAGGGGUUUCCGC